rnacentral:rRNA from 1 species
UACAGAGGGUGCGAGCGUUUGUUCGGAAUUAUUGGGCGUAAAGGGUGGCGUAGGCGGCCUUUUAAGUUUGUUGUGAAAUCUCCUGGCUUAACCGGGAGGGUGCGGCGAAUACUGAAAGGCUAGAGUAUGGGAGAGGAAAGUGGAAUUCCUGGUGUAGCGGUGAAAUGCGUAGAUAUCAGGAGGAACACCUGUGGUGUAGACGGCUUUCUGGACCAUAACUGACGCUGAUGCACGAAAGCGUGGGUAGCAAACAGG